AACGAACGCUGGCGGCAGGCCUAACACAUGCAAGUCGAGCGCCCAGCAAUGGGAGCGGCAGACGGGUGAGUAACACGUGGGAACCUUCCCUAUAGUACGGAAUAGCCCAGGGAAACUUGGAGUAAUACCGCAUACGCCCGAGAGGGGAAAGAUUUAUCGCUAUAGGAUGGGCCCGCGUAGGAUUAGCUAGUUGGUGAGGUAAUGGCUCACCAAGGCGACGAUCCUUAGCUGGUCUGAGAGGACGACCAGCCACACUGGGACUGAGACACGGCCCAGACUCCUACGGGAGGCAGCAGUGGGGAAUAUUGGACAAUGGGCGCAAGCCUGAUCCAGCCAUGCCGCGUGAGUGAUGAAGGCCUUAGGUGUAAGCUCUUUGCCGGGGACGAUAAUGACGGUACCCGGAGAAUAAGCCCGGCUAACUUCGUGCCAGCAGCCGCGGUAAU
rnacentral:rRNA from 1 species